AGUGAACGCUGGCGGUAGGCCUAACACAUGCAAGUCGAACGGCAGCACAGUAAGAGCUUGCUCUUACGGGUGGCGAGUGGCGGACGGGUGAGGAAUACUUCGGAAUCUACUUUUUCGUGGGGGAUAACGUAGGGAAACUUACGCUAAUACCGCAUACGACCUACGGGUGAAAGCAGGGGAUCUUCGGACCUUGCGCGAUUGAAUGAGCCGAUGUCGGAUUAGCUAGUUGGCGGGGUAAAGGCCCACCAAGGCGACGAUCCGUAGCUGGUCUGAGAGGAUGAUCAGCCACACUGGAACUGAGACACGGUCCAGACUCCUACGGGAGGCAGCAGUGGGGAAUAUUGGACAAUGGGCGCAAGCCUGAUCCAGCCAUACCGCGUGGGUGAAGAAGGCCUUCGGGUUGUAAAGCCCUUUUGUUGGGAAAGAAAAGCAGCAGGUUAAUACCCCGCUGUUCCGACGGUACCCAAAGAAUAAGCACCGGCUAACUUCGUG
rnacentral:rRNA from 1 species